rnacentral:rRNA from 1 species
AUGAGGGCAAUGGACAAAUUUGUGCGAAUUUACAGCGGCGGGGAGCUGGUGAAGGGUCCGAAUGGGGUGGAAUUCGGGGACCUCUCCGAGCAGGGUAUAUGGUUCAAGGCAGCACCCACAUACAGUGAGCUAAUUGAUGCUGUGUACAAGAAGCUCGGGCUGGAACCUACAAUGCACGACCUUCGUGCACAGGGGAGGACGAAUGUUGGCGGUGGCGCUCAUCGGCACUUCAUCAUGGUGCCUAUCGACGACGAUAUGUCCUGGAGUAACUAUGUCAAAGCAGUUUUCAAUGGCACCGACUGGAAUUGCCUGGAGGUUUAUGUUCAGGCAGAGGAGCGUCCAUCUGCAGAGUCGGUUUCCCCAGAGCCUGCAUUGCUGGACAGUGAACCACCGGAUGCGCAGUGCCAGAAUUCCCCACCACCAGAUCCAGAACAGGGCGCUCCUCUUUUUACUCCUUUGAUGGUGACAGUCAAUGCACCUACCGUUCAUCCACGACUACGAAAAACAAGGAGCACCAGGGCCCGUGCUGGCAUUGGUGGGCGGUUUGCAGGUGAAGAGGUUCAGCCUGGUCAGUACCAGUGUGGAGCUUCAGGGACAGUUGAUACAACUAGCUAUCUUUUAAUUGGGCUGUAUGACGAGGUUCAUCGUGCUCGUGCUUUAGCAGCAGGCCAGCAUCUAAGUGAGCUCAAUCCUCGUAACCGUGAGCCUCUUCGGUUUGACAAGCGGUACGAACGUUACCUUAGGCCAGCUGGGUUGAUGGGGUUGGCGAACAUUUGCAGGGCUGGACUGCCCUCCAUUGAUCGUGCACUCGUCUCUGCACUAGUUGAUAGGUGGAGACCUGAGACACACACUUUUCACAUGCCUUGUGGUGAGAUUACAAUCACACUACAGGAUGUUGCGAUGAUUCUUGGGCUACCUAUCUCUGGACAUGCUGUCAUUGUAAACAAAACAGAGUCCUACAUUGAAUUGUACCAGCGUUACCUUGGGAAGACACCUCCUUCUGAUAAGUCCCGUCCUGGGUUGAGGGUUGCAUGGGUCAGAGCCGAGUUUAAUAAGUGCCCUGAAGACGCCGACGAGGAGACCGUAAAGCAGCAUGCAAGGGCAUACAUCCUUAGCCUGGUUGGUGGUCUAUUGUUUCCUGAUGCCUCUGGUGAUAGGUACACCGUAUAUCCCUUUCCGCUGAUAGCUGAUCUUGAGAACAUUGGUUCAUACAGUUGGGGUUCUGCUACUCUGGCAUAUCUCUACAGGGCAAUGUGUGAUGCUUGCAGGAGGCAAUCAGAUCAAAGUAAUCUGACUGGUUGCCUUCUGCUCCUUCAGUUCUGGUCAUGGGAGCGCUUCCCAAUCGGCAGGCCAGAUAUGCUAAAGCCGAAAUUCCCAAACGUCGAUGAGCUAGAGGAUGACAGGGAUAGACCAACAGUUGGUCUCAGAUGGGUUGUGGGGGCGUGCACGUAUCGGUCAGCUCCAGCACGUUGCUACGAGCACUUUACAAAUGAGUUCGACUUAUUAACAGAUGACCAGGUUGUUUGGAGCCCAUAUAGGGACGACCGCGUGAAGACACUACAUCUUGCACCUAUAUGUACCCAGGAUUCUCAUUUGUGGCUAACUCAAGCACCUCUAGUUUUUUUCUUUAUGGUGGAGGUUUACACACCGGAGAGAGUGAUGCGUCAAUUUGGUCUCCAUCAGGAAUGCCCGCCACCAUUUCGGGACACCAGCGUGGAACUCCAUUGGUGUUGCCGUGGAAAGGUCCGUAGUGAUUGGGCAGAUAAGCACAAGUCUUUUGUGGAUAUGUGGGAAGUAAAGGAGCAGCAUGUUGUCAUGGAAGAACGACCAUACGAUCAUGCCAACUACAUGGAUUAUUUGCGGUGGUACAGACGGUCGACACGUAUCCGCCUCUGCACACCAAGAAUAAGUAAUGGCCACCAGGAUGGGGCAUCCGUGCGAACUGCAACAGCUGACAAUGAAGAUUCUUUGCGUGCUUCAAAGCUUCGGUACACCCCCAGAGCUCAUCUGAUCCACUCAGUGACCGACAAACUCACUAUUCUGGCGAAGGAGGCAGCUUCACAAAAGGGCUGCUCCAGAGGCGAAUGUAGCGCUUUCAUUGAGCGAGUCACUAGAACGUGUGUAGAACUUGUUGGGGAACUUGGCGGGUCAUCACUUUGCGACAUUGCUGCUGCGGUUCCAGAUUCAACAACUAUUGCAGCUGAACAGGGGUCCGAGGGCCAGAGGGACACAGAGGAUGAGUUAAAUAACUCCAUGGUGCCUGAUCAGGAGAAUGAGUCGGGCCCUGUUCGUGAGAAGCGGACUCGAUUCCAGGUUGAUCAUACACAAGUGAACAGCAGGGUCCAUUCAAGGUCACCAAGCAAGAGGAGGAGGGGUGGACCAGCUCCAAGAUGA